rnacentral:tRNA from 2 species
GGGACAUAGCUCAGCUGGGAGAGCGCUGCGUUCGCAACGCAGAGGUCGCGGGUUCGAAUCCCGUUGUCUCC